AUGAACGCUGGCGGCGUGCUUAACACCUGCCAGUCGAACGAUGAAGCCCAGCUUGCUGGGCGGAUUAGUGGCGAACGGGUGAGUAACACGUGAGUAACCUGCCCUUGACUCUGGGAUAAGCCCGGGAAACUGGGUCUAAUACCGAUUAGAGCGCCCUGCGCCUGGCGGGUUGUGGGAAGAACUUUCGGUCAUGGAUGGACUCGCGGCCUAUCAGCUUGUUGGUGAGGUAACGGCUCACCAAGGCGACGACGGGUAGCCGGCCUGAGAGGGUGACCGGCCACACUGGGACUGAGACACGGCCCAGACCCCUACGGGAGGCAGCAGUGGGGAAUAUUGCACAAUGGGCGAAAGCCUGAUGCAGCGACGCCGCGUGAGGGAUGACGGCCUUCGGGUUGUAAACCUCUUUCAGCAGGGAAGAAGCGAAAGUGACGGUACCUGCAGAAGAAGCACCGGCUAACUACGUG
rnacentral:rRNA from 1 species